rnacentral:rRNA from 1 species
AUGCAGGCUCUGAUGGAUGUUCGGUGCAAGAAUCUAGUGAACCCUGUAUGCGACUGGCUCGGUGAGAUUUACGAGCCCGCCUCUAGGGAAUUUGUGAUUCCGGGACGUGGAAGACUGCUGUUAGAUGAGGAAUCCGUGUUCUGCAUGUUGGGUGUGCCCCGUGGAGAAAUCAAAGUCCCGUAUGAGGUCAAUAAUACGAUUGAGGAAACGUUGUUUGCCCGUUUGUUUCCUGGGAUGACAUCCAUGCCGAACACGACCGUGCUGGCAAAUUCGCUUGAGGGCAUGAAAACCCAUGGCGAAGUUUUUAAGAUGAAGCUACUCAUGUACCUGAUCUCAGCUGUUUUUGCGCCGACCACAUCUCUUCGCCCAAGCAACAAAUGCUUCCCCAUCCUGGCAAAACUGAAAGAAGUGAAGACCCUGAAUUGGUGUAAGUUCAUUGCGGACUUCCUGCAUGAUGCAUUCUCAAACAAGAUGUACCAGAAGGGUUGUCGACUCCAUUUAAUGCUCAUGUACGUUGAUCGUCUUGAUCUGUCCACUAUGGACUUUACUGGGAUAGGAGGCCCGCCGCCUGCACACAAGUUUGCUGUUUCUGCGUGGACUUACGAUGCUGUCAAGGCUGUGCUUGCCGCGGACAAGAUAACUGAUACGAAAUACGGGAAACUGCAGCUGAUGGCCAAGCAUGCUAUAGACUACAGUGUGUUUGGUGGGCCUCAAAAGUUUGGAAAGUGGAUGGACGUGCAUUCAGCUCCGUCUUGUCCUGUUGAGGCGAGGGCACCUGUUGAGCAUCUAAUUGGGCAGUUUGCAUCCGGAAUGACCAGCUUGCUCGGGAAGUUGGUUGAGGGUUGGACGUCCCUUAAUGGCUCUGACAGCGACGCGGUUGCGAGGCAGUUCACUCCAUUUGUUGCAGAACGGACACAUCGGCCAACUGGUUGCCGUGGUCGGUACGACUACAACAGCUCGUAG